rnacentral:lncRNA from 1 species
AUGUUAUGUGCUAUCUUUUGGUUGGCCUAAAUUGGUGGUCUUAUGGACAUUGUUAAGGGGGCCAAUAUAUUGUCAUAUAAGGUGUAGGACUAAUGUGUAGAUACCCAAAAGGGUAACCUUAGUUAAUGAUGGGCUAACUAAGGUUACAUACAUGUAACCAUGGUUACAUGCUUAUGACUUUUAAGUUUUAUAACUCAUAUGUUAUAAGAGGGGGGUUAUGGUUCCCAUAAGAAUGCAAGGGAUUCUCUUCUUCCUCUCAUUGAAACUAGAGAGCAUUUUGGUCUUGCAUAUCAAGUGGAAAACCAAUCCUUAAUUUUUGGUCUUGGAUAUAUUCUUGUGAAAGCAAAAACUUCAAGACAAUCUUAAAGGAAGUAUCAAGGAGC